UACGAGGGGGGGCGAGCGUUUGUUCGGAAUUACUGGGCGUAAAGCGUGCGCAGGCGGUCUGUUAAGACCGAUGUGAAAUCCCCGGGCUUAACCUGGGAACUGCAUUGGUGACUGGCAGGCUUUGAGUGUGGCAGAGGGAGGUAGAAUUCCACGUGUAGCAGUGAAAUGCGUAGAGAUGUGGAGGAAUACCGAUGGCGAAGGCAGCCUCCUGGGCCAACACUGACGCUCAUGCACGAAAGCGUGGGGAGC
rnacentral:rRNA from 1 species